rnacentral:rRNA from 1 species
UACGAAGGGGCUAGCGUUGCUCGGAAUCACUGGGCGUAAAGCGCACGUAGGCGGACUCUUAAGUCGGUGGUGAAAUCCUGGAGCUCAACUCCAGAACUGCCUUUGAUACUGAGGAUCUUGAGUUCGGGAGAGGUGAGUGGAACUGCGAGUGUAGAGGUGAAAUUCGUAGAUAUUCGCAAGAACACCAGUGGCGAAGGCGGCUCACUGGCCCGAUACUGACGCUGAGGCACGAA